UACGGGGGGGGCAAGCGUUGUUCGGAAUUACUGGGCGUAAAGGACGCGUAGGCGGUUUGCUAAGUUGGAUGUGAAAACUCUGGGCUUAACCCAGAGCCUGCAUCCAAAACUGGCUGACUUGAGUACUGGAGGGGAAAGCGGAAUUCCUGGUGUAGCGGUGAAAUGCGUAGAUAUCAGGAGGAACACCGGUGGCGAAGGCGGCUUUAUGGACAGUAACUGACGCUGAGGCGCGAAAGCUAGGGGAGCAAACAGG
rnacentral:rRNA from 1 species